rnacentral:rRNA from 1 species
UGGGGGAGUAUUGCACAAUGGGGGUAAACCCGUGAUGCAGCGACGCCGCGUGGGUGAAGAAGCGCCUCGGCGCGUAAAGCCCUGUCAGCAGGGAAGAAAAUGACGGUACCUGAAGAAGAAGCCCCGGCUAACUACGUGCC